rnacentral:lncRNA from 1 species
CGCUGAGCACUAGAGAGAGCGUCUUGUGGCUGCGGCCUGCCCCUCAGCCUCCUCCGCGCGGUUACCCCUGUACCCGCCGCCAUCCGUCCUGGCGCUCCGGAUGAGUCAAUGAGGGGCAGGGCCCGAGGAGUGGUCUUCCCAAGAACCCCUGGUGGCCUCCCAAGGCCGGUGCUGUGUACCUCCUCCCCGACAAAAGGGGAAACUGAGGCCCCGAGGGGAGUGGGAAGAGCCGGCUGGACGUCAGGCCCAGCCGCUGGUGCAGUGGUCCGUCCCCUCUGCCGGGGUGGGCCCCUCGGGUUUCGCGUGUCCUCGGGAAAGAGACUGGCGGGUGAGCCGCGCCCUCGGCCUUCGCUGGGCUAAGCCGACCCCAUGCAGACGUCAAACCCCCCUAGGUCGGCACAGCCUCUCUGCGGGGAGGCUUAGUGCCCCCUUGAGAAACGGCUUGGCAACGCUGUGCCCGGGGCCUUGCACGCGGGCUGAGGGGGCUAGAGACCUCGCGACUUUUACUCCCCCGACCCCGAUCUCCGACUCCUGACUUUGGAAGCCCCCAAAGCUGCUUUUCGGUUGCCUACAAAGUGUCGGUCAUUGUGCCACGUCCUUGGAACCGUGAACUCAUUUUCUCCUCAAUAACCUUUAAAAAGUAGCUGUAAAACCUCCAUUUUACAGACCAGUUGGCUGAGGUUUAAAUGGAGGACGCUCCCAGGGCCCCAGAGGGGCGAAUUCCAGACUCCUUUGCCAGGACCUUGUACUAAGCCCCUUCCCUACGCUUUUCCCUGCCUAGGCCUCGUGGGCUGUGCGGCUAUCCUGGAGACAGAUGACAGCUCUCCCUUGGAUGGCUUUGCUGGUUCCGCACCAGCCAGCGCCCCCAUUUUUCCUGCAGCACCCUGAUCUGCACUCCCUGAGGGGCUCCCACUGUCCGCGGUGUGAGGAUGUCCCUGGAUAGUCCACUGUGUGCAGAGGCAUGGGAGUUGUCAUGUUGGGAACAUGCUAGACCUCAGUAUCCUUGAGGGAUGCUGCCUUGGGUCUGGAAACUGUUAGAGGAAACCCCAAGAGGUGCAGGCACUGAGCCUCUCAGGACAAUGACCUGGGGUCCCAGCUCCCCUGGAGGGGCCUCCUCAUGAUUGUUUGGGGGUUGAUCACAGACCAAGAGUGACGAGUGAUGUCACCCUGUGACUCAUGGCUGGACCUUCUUGCCCCUAUUGUCUCAGCACAACAUUAUUCGACUUUUCCCUCAGCGUGGGUGGGCAGAGGAAAAGCCCUGUGGCUCUGGGGACUUGGGAUCCAGAGUUGAAGACCCUUCAGCUGGCUCUGCCCUGCCAGUGCCACAGAGUGCCAUGGCCCAGGAAGACAGGUUUUCUUCCAUCUAGGCCAGGCCAUCCAGUGGCCAUCCUCCGUGUCCUCCCGCCUCCUCCUGGUGUGACUUCUGAAAACCAAGAAUUUGUUCCUGUUGACUUUUUCUGUGCUAUGGACCAUUGUCCUCUCACCCACUCAAUAAAUCUUGAAACAUGC